rnacentral:tRNA from 1 species
GCGACAUUAGCUCAACUGGAUAGAGCACGUUCCUUCUAAGAAUGGGGUUGGGGAUUCAAGUUCCUCAUGUCGCA